rnacentral:rRNA from 1 species
UGAGCAACCUGCCCUUAGCUCUGGGAUAACCCCGGGGAACCGGGGCUAAUACCGGAUAUGAGUCCGAGCGGCAUCACGCGGACUGGAAAGUUUUUCGGCUAAGGAUGGGCUCGCGGCCUAUCAGCUAGUUGGUGUGGGUAAUGGCCCACCAAGGCGACGACGGGUAGCCGGCCUGAGAGGGUGACCGGCCACACUGGGACUGAGACACGGCCCAGACUCCUACGGGAGGCA